CAGCCGCCGCGGUAAUACGUAGGUGGCAAGCGUUGUCCGGAAUUAUUGGGCGUAAAGGGCUCGCAGGCGGUUUCUUAAGUCUGAUGUGAAAGCCCCCGGCUCAACCGGGGAGGGUCAUUGGAAACUGGGAAACUUGAGUGCAGAAGAGGAGAGUGGAAUUCCACGUGUAGCGGUGAAAUGCGUAGAGAUGUGGAGGAACACCAGUGGCGAAGGCGACUCUCUGGUCUGUAACUGACGCUGAGACACGAAAGCGUGGGUAGCAAACAGGAUUAGAUACCCCCGUAGUCCCUGUCUCUUAUAC
rnacentral:rRNA from 1 species